CGCCGCGUGGAGGAAGAAGGUCUUCGGAUUGUAAACUCCUGUCCCAGGGGACGAUAAUGACGGUACCCUGGGAGGAAGCACCGGCUAACUACGUGCCAGCAGCCGCGGUAAAACGUAGGGUGCAAGCGUUGUCCGGAAUUACUGGGUGUAAAGGGAGCGCAGGCGGAUUGGCAAGUUGGGAGUGAAAUCUAUGGGCUCAACCCAUAAAUUGCUUUCAAAACUGUCAGUCUUGAGUGGUGUAGAGGUAGGCGGAAUUCCCGGUGUAGCGGUGGAAUGCGUAGAUAUCGGGAGGA
rnacentral:rRNA from 1 species